rnacentral:rRNA from 1 species
UACGGAGGGUCCAAGCGUUAUCCGGAUUUAUUGGGCUUAAAGGGUGCGUAGGUGGCCUGUUACGUCAGGGGUGAAAGACGGUAGCUUAACUAUCGCAGUGCCCUUGAUACUGAUGGGCUUGAAUGAACUAGAGGUAGGCGGAAUGUGACAAGUAGCGGUGAAAUGCAUAGAUAUGUCGCAGAACACCAAUUGCGAAGGCAGCUUACUAUGGUUUUAUUGACACUGAGGCACGAAAGCGUGGGGAGCAAACAGG